rnacentral:tRNA from 1 species
GCCGCAAAGGUGGAAUGAAUUGGUAGACACGCUUCUCUUAGGAAGCAGCGCUGAAGGCAUAUCGGUUCGAAUCCGAGCGACGGCA